rnacentral:ncRNA from 1 species
CGUAUGUCCACUCCACAACAUGGGCUGCGUACAUUCAAAAAGGAGGUUCAACGCUUCCGCGAGGCUCGCGGUGCGGCAGUGUGGAGACCUGUCGUAAGGCGGUGCGCUCCUUUGCGGGCGGCCGCGAGACGUAUCCGGGUGGGCCGGUGCGUCAGAGCUGUAAGCUAUG